rnacentral:lncRNA from 1 species
ACUUCGGUCUUUCAUUUUGUUAACUUUGUGUAUAAAGAUUGUGACUAUUUUGUAGAAUUUUCUGCGGACUGAAGCUUGCCAAACAACUCCAAGACAGAAAAAGAGGAAGCAAAACAUGAGGAAGAAGGAAUGCAUGAGUUUAAGAAGAGAAAGGCAAGUUUACACAAAAGAACAAGGAAAAUAACUGACAGCCCUCAAUGUACAAUGACUGUCCUGCGUGCUCCAGGAAGUUAAACAAAGGUCUUAAAAUUUACAAGAAGUUCUCCAUUUGCUGUGUGCAUUUCUCUAAGGAAAUUAUUGCUUUUUCAUCUGCCAUUCAUCUCAUCCACAUAGGAACAAAGUGGAUUUUCAGACCCUUGGCCCAGACUUGGAGGCAGAGGAGCCCGUACGUUCAGAUGAAUGGUAAUGAGCAUUGUCAGAGAGGCAGGAAAAUUGAGUCCCCGGCUCUGGCUGCUGGGCUGAGAGCUGCAGGAGCUAAUUGUGUCAAUGGUAAUGAGACCGAGCAGGCAGCAGAUGCUCACGUGCCUUUACAAUCCAAAUCCCACCAACAAAUUCCUCCCACAGAAACUUUGAGGGACGUCUUGGCACCCUGGAGAUGGUGA